AAGUGAAUAGGUUAUAGGUCGAAAAUUCGAAAAUUAGUGAAUAUAGUACAGGCGAACAGAGGGGGUAUCAAGAUGAAUUCUUCCGGACGCGUUCUAAUUGCUGCUCCGGUACUGCUGUUACUACUUUUCGUCGUCAAUUUGAUACAAAAUGCCGAAUCCGCAUCACUAACGAACAGGCUUCAGCUACUUGAUGACGAUGAUGUCCGAAAAAACAGGGAUGUCGAAUUUGAGGAUUUGAUGACAGGAGAAACCACCCAUGAUACGGAAAACUCAAUCCUUUGGCCGUGGUCGAGACGAAAACGGGACUCGGGUACAGAAGAUGACCA